GAUUACGGAUUACCGGACAUCCUGGUCACGCUUAUUAGAACAUAGAUGGCGCCAGUCAGGCGACCAUCGCAACACAUACGCUGUCGAGAUGUGUCUUCGGACACACCGCAGUAAGGCGAAUACCGCCGUCUACGUUUCUCUUUCUCUAAAAGACAAGGACCACGCUUUGGAGCGUCGAUCCUGGUUUGGCCUUGUGGCUUGACCGGAUGGGUGCUGCAGUGUUGUUCAACCCUUAUGGGCCCGUAGCUCAGUUGGUUAGAGCACACGCUUGAUAAGCGUGGGGUCGGUAGUUCGAGUCUACCCGGGCCCACCAUGUUUUGUCCUGACGCUGUCGCGCUCUUCGAGCGCUGCGCUCCGGACGGGCCGUCCCGUAGGGACGUGGGGCUCUGCCCCUGUUUGGUGGUUUACGGUUGGGUUCGUUGAUCCAGGUUCGCGGCCUUCGGGCUGAACGGAUUGGGGCUGUAGCUCAGCUGGGAGAGCACCUGCUUUGCAAGCAGGGGGUCAGCGGUUCGAUCCCGCUCAGCUCCACCAUUACGGUGCUUUGAAAAAAGCGCCUUUGGUGUUGAGGUUGGCGGAUUGAUUGCCUUGUCUUUAAGAGAAAUAAAAGUUUGCAUCGGCUCGUUUGAGCCUGAUGCCUGUUCUGAUUACAUUGUGAAGAGAAGAUAUGUCUGGAAGCUUCCAGGUGUUGAGGGUGAUCGAAAGGUCAUUUGAAACGUCCGAGCCCAGUCCUGUUAAAGCUGUCGACGGUCUAGCCGAUCCGAGACAGUGGAGGGGCUGGAGGUAGGUAGGAAGCUUGUUACUCAAGGCAUGUUUGUUGUUGGUUGUUGGAACCAUCGAAACUUCAGGUCCGCAAGGGUUUGGGGAUUUUGGUGUUUCUGCUGCCUCUGACGACAUGUCGAUUGGCGUUGCCUGACCGCGCGUCACCGGACAGAUCUCGAGAAGCUGGUCUUAAGAUACGACCUCGAAGUGCACCGGCGUGCCUUCAUAUGGGGAUUGUAUCGAACACGUCGAUGGCAUCUGGAUUGGAUGUGGCUGUAAAAGGUAGCUGCAUCGCCCCUUCCCUUCGGGAAGGUGGCUUAAGGAUGGGCAUUGGCAAUGAGAACGAUCAAGUGAAAUAAGGGCAAUUGGUGGAUGCCUUGGCAUGCACAGGCGAUGAAGGACGUGAUACGCUGCGAUAAGCCGUGGGGAGCUGCGAAUAAG
rnacentral:misc_RNA from 1 species